UACGGGGGGUGCAAGCGUUGCUCGGAAUUAUUGGGCGUAAAGCGUACGCAGGCGGCUUGGCAAGUCGAGUGUGAAAUCCCGGGGCUCAACCCCGGACUGGCAUUCGAAACUGCUAAGCUUGAGUGCGGGAGAGGGAAGCGGAAUUCCUGGUGUAGAGGUGAAAUUCGUAGAUAUCAGGAGGAACACCGGUGGCGAAAGCGGCUUCCUGGCCCGAUACUGACGCUCAUGUACGAAAGCGUGGGGAGCAAACAGG
rnacentral:rRNA from 1 species